rnacentral:rRNA from 1 species
AUGGUUAAGUGACUAAGCGUACACGGUGGAUGCCUUGGCAGUCAGAGGCGAUGAAAGGCGUAAUAACUUGCGAUAAGCCCAGAUUAGGUAGUAAUAACCUUUUGAGUCUGGGAUUCCUGAAUGGGGAAACCCACUUACAUAAGUAAGUAUCCUGUUGUGAAUACAUAGCAACAGGAGGCAAACCGGGGGAACUGAAACAUCUAAGUACCCCGAGGAAGAGAAAUCAACCGAGAUUCCGAAAGUAGCGGCGAGCGAAAUUGGAUUAGCCCUUAAGCUUUUAAUGAGACAGAUGAAGGCUCUGGAAUGUGCCGCAAUAAAGGGUGAUAGCCCCGUAAUCGACAUCUCAUCAUCAGUGAAAACGAGUAGGGCGGGACACGUGAUAUCCUGUCUGAAUAUGGGGGGACCAUCCUCCAAGGCUAAAUACUACUGACUGACCGAUAGUG